rnacentral:lncRNA from 1 species
UUAUUUUAAUGCACAGUAUGAGAAAUGAACUUUUUUAAAUCAACUGAUUUGUAUGGAAAAUGACACGGCAAACAACUUUGCUAGAAACUGGUCCAAAGAUCGACAGCACGUGGGAAUGCUUAACAGGGGUGGUGAUCAGGGACACGUUUCCUAUGAGAGUAAGAAAAAAGUCAAUAGUGAAAAAUGAAGAGCAUGAUUUUAUCCAAAGUAUUAUACUAAAUACAAACACAACUAGAAUCCUGUAUUAAAACUGUUAUAACUCUGCAAUGGUUUGCAUGUGUGUCCCCUAUAACACUCACAUUGAAACUGAAUCCCCAAUGUGGCAGUAUUGGAAGUUGGGCUUUUAAGAGGUGACCAAGUUAUGUCAUGGACUAAUGGGUUAUAUAGGAUGGGACUGCUGGCUUUAGGUGAGGAGGAAGACAGACCUGAGCUAGCCACUCAGCCCCCUCCUCUGUGUGAUGCCCUGCACCACAUCAGGACUGUUCUGCCUUGGGACUCUGCAGACACCCCCACCAACAAGAAGCACCUUCUAUUCUCAUCUUUUAUUCUUUGAUGACCAUACAAUAAGGGGGCAUAGAACAAUCUUUUGGAAAGAUGGGAUAAGGGUACUAGUAAAUUUGUACUUAAUGCUUGUUCAAGGAUCUAAAGCUUGAGAAACACUGCUUUUAGAGGCAAACACAACAGUUACGAGAAGCUGAAGAAGCUUAAGAACAGAUCAAAGAGUACAGCAUUAUACAGGGAUCAUAUAGAGAGAUAAACUUUUCACCCUUGGUAGCUUAUGGGGGGACUAGGAUGCUAACCAUUGUCAAGAGUUAUGAAGCAGCUGUCACAGGGCACUGAUCUGAAAAAAAAAGUCUUCUGGAGAUUAAUAAGGAAUAUGAAAAAGAAGCCCAUGGUCUGGUAGGUCUGGAAGGCUGAGUUAAAAUUCAGUUUCUUUAUUGCAAAUUACUCAGAAUUUGCUAAUAAAAGAUACCUGAUCUCUAAAACAGUAUCAGACCAAACAAGGUAUUAUACAUUUUUUAAGCGUUAUUUCAACUGUGGGUGAGGGCACUGACUUCUUGUGAAGAUUUCUGGGAGUAGGUGUGGCUAUAUGACCUUGCCCUAGAACACUUUAGUUACAGAACUCAGUUUCCUUUUGCUAUCAUUCUGUUUAAAGACAAUAGAAAGCAUCACAGCAUCUACUGUCCUCAGUACUUGACCUUUCCAAGCAUGGCUCUUUCUGUGCCUUUUCAAUCCUAAGAGCUACCUCAGCUGCCCAUCCCUCUUUCCCCUUAAGUUUUUCUGGCUUAAGUGUUAAGAGUUGUGAUAUUUUAAAUAACUUACAUACUUUUAUCCAGGCAAAACUGUCUCUGCUUUUCAUUAACUCUAAUUAUAAAAUAAAUACAGCUCCCUAUUUUGUUUUGCUGUUAGUAAUUUUUUCUGAGAAAAGUGUUAGGGUACCUGGGUGCCGCUUUGAUGAUGUUGUCCACACGCAGAAUCACCUCUGCUGCUUCAGCUGCACUCAGAAGAACCUGUCGCUUCACUUGAAA